CACUACUUCUGGAAUGGGUAAUGACUUAAAUCUAUAUGGCCCCUGGAUUGGACUGCGGCCGAUCAGGCUGUUGGUGAGGUAAUGGCCCACCAAACCUGUAACCGGUACGGGCUCUGAGAGGAGGAGCCCGGAGAUGGGCACUGAGACAAGGGCCCAGGCCCUAUGGGGCGCAGCAGGCGCGAAACCUCUGCAAUAGGCGAAAGCCUGACAGGGUUACUCUGAGUGGUUUCCGUUAAGGAGAUCUUUUGGCACCUCUAAAAAUGGUGCAGAAUAAGGGGUGGGCAAGUCUGGUGUCAGCCGCCGCGGUAAUACCAGCACCCCGAGUGGUCGGGACGUUUAUUGGGCCUAAAGCAUCCGUAGCCGGUUCUACAAGUCUUCCGUUAAAUCCACCUGCUUAACAGAUGGGCUGCGGAAGAUACUAUGGAGCUAGGAGGCGGGAGAGGCAAGCGGUACUCGAUGGGUAGGGGUAAAAUCCGUUGAUCCAUUGAAGACCACCAGUGGCGAAGGCGGCUUGCCAGAACGCGCUCGACGGUGAGGGAUGAAAGCUGGGGGAGCAAACCGGAUUAGAUACCCGGGUAGUCCCAGCUGUAAACGAUGCAGACUCGGUGAUGAAUUGGCUUCAUGCCAAUUCAGUGCCGCAGGGAAGCCGUUAAGUUUGCCGCCUGGGGAGUACGGUCGCAAGACUGAAACUUAA
rnacentral:rRNA from 1 species